rnacentral:rRNA from 1 species
AGAACGAACGCUGGCGGCAUGCCUAACACAUGCAAGUCGAACGUGAUCCAGGCUUCGGCCUGGUGAAAGUGGCAGACGGGUGAGUAACGCGUGGGAACCUGCCCUGUGGUAGGGAAUAACCGUGGGAAACUGCGGCUAAUACCCUAUGAGUCCUUCGGGAGAAAGAUUUAUCGCCAUAGGAGGGGCCCGCGUCGGAUUAGGUAGUUGGUGGGGUAACGGCCUACCAAGCCUUCGAUCCGUAGCUGGUCUGAGAGGAUGAUCAGCCACACUGGGACUGAGAUACGGCCCAGACUCCUACGGGAGGCAGCAGUGGGGAAUAUUGGACAAUGGGGGCAACCCUGAUCCAGCAAUGCCGCGUGGAUGAUGAAGGCCUUCGGGUUGUAAAGUCCUUUCGGCGGGAAGAUGAUGACGGUACCCGCAGAAGAGCCCCGCUAACUUCGUGCCAGCAGCCGC